GUCAGGAUGGCCGAGAGGUCUAAGGUGCUUCGUUCAGUUCGCAGUCCGUAUCUGUCUCGGCGUGGGUCCGAAUCCCAUAUCUGUCU